rnacentral:rRNA from 1 species
AACGAACGCUGGCGGCAUGCCUAACACAUGCAAGUCGAACGAAGCCUUCGGGCUUAGUGGCGCACGGGUGCGUAACGCGUGGGAAUCUGCCCUUGGGUUCGGAAUAACAGUUAGAAAUGACUGCUAAUACCGAAUGAUGUCUUCGGACCAAGGAUUUAUCGCCCAAGGAUGAGCCCGCGUCGGAUUAGCUAGUUGGUGAGGUAAAGGCUCACCAAGGCGACGAUCCGUAGCUGGUCUGAGAGGAUGAUCAGCCACACUGGGACUGAGACACGGCCCAGACUCCUACGGGAGGCAGCAGUGGGGAAUAUUGGACAAUGGGCGAAAGCCUGAUCCAGCAAUGCCGCGUGAGUGAUGAAGGCCUUAGGGUUGUAAAGCUCUUUUACCCGGGAUGAUAAUGACAGUACCGGGAGAAUAAGCCCCGGCUAACUCCGUGCCAGCAGCCGCGGU